rnacentral:rRNA from 1 species
GAUGAACGCUGGCGGCGUGCCUAAUACAUGCAAGUCGAGCGAACAGACGAGGAGCUUGCUCCUCUGACGUUAGCGGCGGACGGGUGAGUAACACGUGGAUAUCCUACCUAUAAGACUGGGAUAACUUCGGGAAACCGGAGCUAAUACCGGAUAAUAUAUUGAACCGCAUGGUUCAAUAGUGAAAGACGGUUUUGCUGUCACUUAUAGAUGGAUCCGCGCCGCAUUAGCUAGUUGGUAAGGUAACGGCUUACCAAGGCGACGAUGCGUAGCCGACCUGAAAGGGUGAUCGGCCACCCUGGAACUGAGACACGGUCCAGACUCCUACGGGAGGCAGCAGUAGGGAAUCUUCCGCAAUGGGCGAAAGCCUGACGGAGCAACGCCGCGUGAGUGAUGAAGGUCUUCGGAUCGUAAAACUCUGUUAUUAGGGAAGAACAAAUGUGUAAGUAACUAUGCACGUCUUGACGGUACCUAAUCAGAAAGCCACGGCUAACUACGUG